rnacentral:rRNA from 1 species
UGAAAGGGAAGCGCUUGCAACCAGACCUGCCUGCAGUUGCUCAUCCGGGCUUUUGCCCGGUGCACUCUUCUGCUGUCAGGCCAGCAUCGGUUCGGGCGGUCGGAUAAAGGCUUCGGGAAUGUAGCUCCUCUCGAGGAGUGUUAUAGCCCGUUGCGAAAUGCGGCCAGCCUGAACUGAGGUCCGCGCUUCGGCUAGGAUGCUGGCGUAAUGGUUGUAAGCGGCCCGUCUUGAAACACGGACCAAGGAGUCUAACAUCUGUGCGAGUGUUUGGGUGUCAAACCCGUACGCGUAAUGAAAGUGAACGGAGGCGGGAACCCCCUCGGGGUGCACCGUCGACCGAUCCUGAUGUCUUCGGAUGGAUUUGAGUAAGAGCAUAGCUGUUGGGACCCGAAAGAUGGUGAACUAUGCCUGAAUAGGGUGAAGCCAGAGGAAACUCUGGUGGAGGCUCGCAGCGGUUCUGACGUGCAAAUCGAUCGUCAAAUUUGGGCAUAGGGGCGAAAGACUAAUCGAACUAUCUAGUAGCUGGUUCCUGCCGAAGUUUCCCUCAGGAUAGCAGUAACGUUUUCAGUUUUAUGAGGUAAAGCGAAUGAUUAGAGGCCUGGGGGUUGAAACAACCUUCACCUAUUCUCAAACUUUAAAUAUGUAAGAAGUCCUUGUUACUUAGUUGAACGUGGACAUUUGAAUGUAUCGUUACUAGUGGGCCAUUUUUGGUAAGCAGAACUGGCGAUGCGGGAUGAACCGAACGCGGAGUUAAGGUGCCGGAAUGCACGCUCAUCAGACACCACAAAAGGUGUUGGUUCAUCUAG